ACACACACACACACACACACACACACACACACACACACACACACACACACACACACACACACUAGCGCGCGCGCGAAUAAGCAGGCUGAAGCAAGUUUAUGGUGCGAAUGAAUUAAUCGUCAAAGAAGCUAAUAGUUCCUUGACGAGACUCAGGUUUAUCUGGAUGGCAGAACCUCCUGUAUUAGAUACACAUACACGACUGCUUACUGAAGGAUGCUGAACAAGAAAAGAAUAAAAAAAAAAGAAUAAAUAUAGCAAUAAAGAGGUGAUACAAGUGACGAUGCGGUGCCGUUUCAUUAUUUAUUUGCACAAAUACAGACAGUAUGACUCAGCAAACUAUACUUAUUUAUAAUGGUAAAUAAUGGAGUGGCGCCGUAUAUGUAGUUUGAUAAAGGGCACUGGAGCUAGAUUCAGGAUGGUAGUUGUGGAGAUGGCUGGCAAAAAGGAAAGAGCAGGGUGGCAGAGGUAGGGAUGGCUGGCGAUGAGGGAAGAGCAGGGUGGCAGAGGUAGAGAUGGCUGGCGAUGAGGGAAGAGCAGGGUGGCAGAGGUGAGGAUGGCUGGCGAAGAGGGAAGAGCAAGGUGGCAGAGGUGGGGUGGCUGGCGAACAGGAAGAGCGGGAUGGCAGAGGUGGGGAUGGCUGGCAAAGAGGGAAGAGCAGAGUGGUAGAGAUGGGGAUGACUGGCGAAGAGGGAGAGCAGAGUGGCAAAGGUGAGGAUGGCUAGCGAAAGAGGAAGAUGGAGAUCUUUGAUCAGUGACGUCACAGGACUGGCACCUCAGUAAACAAUUCAAGAGAGUGAGGGAUAGAUACCCGAGAGUCAUUUUAGUUGCAUUAUCGUUGGUAUUGCAUGUAGAAAUACUUAUGUGUCAAAAAUAGCUCAGUCUCAGAUACGGGUGUUAUAAUGAUAAUUUGUAAUGAAUAUUUUUUUUAUAAUGUGUACGAAUGGCGACAGGAAGUUCAGCCAAGUCCCCAUAGUGACGAUAAUUAAUUUUACUCCUUUGACGAUUACAGCGUGCACCUGUUUGAACCUGCCUCUUCGUGUGUGUGUGUGUGUGUGUGUGUGUGUGUGUGUGUGUGUGUGUGUGUGUGUGUGUGUGUGUGUGUGUGUGUGACGAUUUGGCAGACAUAGGAUAGUAACUGAGCCAGCAGCUUCGUCAAGCCCUUCAGUAUUAGGAGAGGAUUGGUGAGGGUGGCAACGGUGGCGACGUCUCAGAGAUGGCAAUAUCAGAAGAGUGACAGUUUUCAUAUUAGCUGAGAGAAAUUUUGAAUUAAACACAUCUUGCAGGAAGUCGUGAAUAAAAUGCCUGGAAAGAAAAUGUGAUAAUUUGCAGUGGCAUGUGACUAUACUGAUAAUUUGUUAGAGGAAAAGAAAGAAAAUAGAUAAAAAAGGGAAAAAAUACACGAUUAUCAUUGAAAAUAAUCGUUCAUUACGAAAAUUUAAAUAUUUCGAGAAUAACAGAAGGAAAAUUUAAGUUAGAAAAAUUGAAUCGUGAAAUAAAAUAAAAGGUGUCCUUAUCUUUUCUGUGACGGGAACAAUGAUUUGAGAUAAUAGAAAGUGUUAGAGUGAGAAAAGAUUACAAUCAGUGUCUAAAAGAAACUUGAAAGAAAAACCACUAAGAAUAAUGAAACGUCAAAAACAGUAAGAAACAAGAGAGAGAGAGAGAGAGAGAGAGAGAGAGAGAGAGAGAGAGAGAGAGUAUAAUUCAGUCACCGUGAAGUCAUGUCCCAAAUAAGAGUACUCGGAAUCACACGUCCGAUAUAGAUCAAGCCGGGAAAAAGAAAAUAAGAUAAAUAGAGAAGGAAAGAGUAAAGGGAAGAGCAAUCAAACAGAGAAGAAAGAAAGGACGAUCAAAUAUAAAAGAAAAAAGUAGAAGAUAAUUUAACUGAGGAAGGAAUUUGUACAGAGAAGAAAAGAAGGACAGUUUAGUAGAGAGGGAAGGGAGAAAGGAAGGCAAUCCAAGAGACAGGAAGAGGAAGACAAUCAAAGAAGAUGGGAAGAAAAGAAAACCACUUAACAAAAUUAAAGGGAGGACAAUUUAAUAAAGAUAACAAAUAAAGAAGAAAGGAGAAAGAGAGAGAAAAAAAAACAUUUCUAUAUAAAAGAAGAAAAGAAAGGCAACCCAACAGUAAAUAAAGGGAAGACAAUCGAACAGAGUAAUAUUCAAUACUUAGCAAGAGAGAGAAAAAAAAGUAAGAAAAUAUGGAGGUGAAUGAAAAAGUUAAAGGGAACAGAGACGCGGGAGAAAGUCUUCCCUUGCAGUUUGGUGAGGCAUCAGGAGAGAAGACAGAAGACACAGCAGAAAAGAAUCAAGAAAAAUCUUACCCCGCGCAAGAAAGAGAUAAUUUGGAAAAUAAAUCACAAGUACUCGUGCAUGAGAUCAAGAUUGGUGAAGACAAUCUGUAUGACGAACACGAAUCCAAAGAACGAAAUAGAAAGAAAUAUAUGAAGAAUGAAAAGAAAGGUUUCAAGGUAGAAGAGAUUACAUGUUUACCCGGAGAAAAGAAGAUAAUAGAGGAGAAAAUUGAGAUUGAAGAAGUAAUAAAGAUUUACCUAGAUGUCAAUUCUGUUGAAGAAAACUGUAGUGCGACAAAAAUUAUUCAAAGGAAGAGAGAUGACAGACAAAGUUUGAACAUGGAGAAAGUAAUUGACGAGAGACAGAGGCGAGACUUGACUGAAGUAAAAGAACAUGUGGAAGAAACCGAAGAAGGAAGUGAGAGGGAGAAUUUGAGAGAAAACCUCACCGGGGGGAAAGAAAUGUUAGAAAACAGAAUUGUAGUUCAAAGAGAAGAAUUAAGAUCUACUUGGGAGGAAGGAAGAGAGUUAAGUAUGAAAAUAGAGGGAGAGAAGGAGAGACGGUCACGAAAAGGGUGUUACAUGAAAUUGCAACUGAAGAAAGUGACUCAGAUAAAAGAAACAUGGAAGACAAAUUAACGAUGAGCCACUUUGAGAAGGAGGGAGGCACCGGCAAGAAGGGAAGAAAGGAAAAGAAAGUCACCUGGAAUGAAAAAGAAGAUGUAAAAAAAUGGAAACAGGAGAGAGUUUUUGCUAGAGAAGCUGAAAAAGUUGACACAAAGAAAACGAAGAAGGGGAAAAAGGUUAAAGGAAGGAUACUGAGGAAAACAGAAGAAGAGGAAAGGGAGGAAGAGAUAUCAAGACUAGAUAAAGAUGAGGAAAACACAAGAAACGAGGGAGAUAUAGAAUAUACACAAAAAGGAGCAACAGGUAAU
rnacentral:misc_RNA from 1 species